rnacentral:rRNA from 1 species
AUUGAACGCUGGCGGCAGGCCUAACACAUGCAAGUCGAACGAGUGGCGGACGGGUGAGUAAUGUCUGGGAAACUGCCCGAUGGAGGGGGAUAAAUACUGGAAACGGUAGCUAAUACCGCAUACCAUCGGAUGUGCACAGAUGGGAUUAGCGAGUAGGGGGGGUAAAGGCUCACCUAGGCGACGAUCCCUAGCUGGUCUGAGAGGAUGACCAGCCACACUUGAACUGCGACACGGUCCAGACUCCUACGGGAGGCAGCAGGGGGGAAUAUUGCACAAUGGGCGCAAGCCUGAUGCAGCCAUGCCGCGUGUAUGUAGAAGGCCUUCGGGUUGUAAAGUACUUUCAGCGAGGAGGCGUUACUCGCAGAAGAAGCACCGGCUAACUCCGUGCCAGCCGCCGCGGUAAUUC